GACUCGUCACACUAUCAUUAACUGAAUCCAUAGGUUAAUGAGGCGAACCGGGGGAACUGAAACAUCUAAGUACCCCGAGGAAAAGAAAUCAACCGAGAUUCCCCCAGUAGCGGCGAGCGAACGGGGAGGAGCCCAGAGCCUGAAUCAGCAUGUGUGUUAGUGGAAGCGUCUGGAAAGGCGCGCGAUACAGGGUGACAGCCCCGUACACAAAAGCGCAUGUGCUGUGAGCUCGAUGAGUAGGGCGGGACACGUGGUAUCCUGUCUGAAUAUGGGGGGACCAUCCUCCAAGGCUAAAUACUCCUGACUGACCGAUAGUGAACCAGUACCGUGAGGGAAAGGCGAAAAGAACCCCGGCGAGGGGAGUGAAAAAGAACCUGAAACCGUGUACGUACAAGCAGUGGGAGCACCCUUUGGGGUGUGACUGCGUACCUUUUGUAUAAUGGGUCAGCGACUUA
rnacentral:rRNA from 1 species